UAAUGGUGGGACCCAAUUACUAUGGGGUGAUGCCUUUUAUAAGAGGCAGAGUCAGUGAAGACCUUUUCUUUUUGUAGCACACAGGGAAGAGGCCACAGAGGCCACAGAAGAAAGGAAGCUGUCUGAAUGCCAGGAAGAGAAGACUCAUACAAAUACAUCCUGACUAAUAUGGGCUUACAGCCAUUCCAGAUUCUCUCCACGAGGCUGGUUUUCAUCUUCCUAUAGUGUUACAAGCAUGAUGUCGAUCUCAAUGACUCCUUUGUAGAAAGAGCACAGAGAAGCCAGUGAGAAGCACAUCAAGUUGCUAAAACAGUUCAAACUAUUUUACUGACAUCAGCUCAGCAUGAAAAAAUGAAGUCUGUGAGACAGACUGUCCUAGUGGACUAAAGGAAAAUACUACAAUAGCCACAAGAUUGAAAUGAAGCCUCAGCUCAACAGCUCAAGCAGGUGCAUUCAGUGCUACUUUUUAUAUAAAAUUCACAUCUUCUCUUUCAUUUGAGGAAAUCCAGCAUAGAGUUGGUUUUCCAGUUACAAAAGGAGACUUAUUUUUCUACAUUUUGAACACUGAGGAUGAGAUUCCACUCUGAUCGUGGUGUGAAUAUAAACCAGGAGGAUGCUGACUAGGUGACCAGGUCCCCAGACAAGACUCCAACCACAAGCUUCAGUGACCCUGCUUGGCAGAGCACAGCAUCCAAUACUAAAAGUAAAUAUAAAGCCAAAGAGAUUACAGC
rnacentral:lncRNA from 1 species